UUUACAGUCUAUGGUUUUUAAUCAGUCAAAAUAGUUUGUCUUUCAGGCCAUGUGGUGGCGGUAUUGCACCAGUUGAUAUUAUUUUUUACAACUUCAGUUUUGAAGAAAGAGGAAGCUACCAAAACAUUCCAUCUUUUUCCAAUUUGCUUUAUAUGGGAAUCCACGCCAUUUCGCUGUGUUUCUUCAUUGGUUGAUAAGAACAUUUCGAUUAGUAUGGAUUGUGUUUGAAUCCGGAUUAGAGAUAAUCACACAUAAACAAUAGAUUUGGUGACUGUUUAGCCUACGAUAGUAACGUUAACCAGCUGUCUGACUGACUGGGCUGCUGCCGCCGCUUGCUGCUGUGUCUGCUAACCAGCCUUCAUUUCGUCACUUUAUUGUUCGUUUUUUUCUGCAUGAGCGAUGGGGUCUUUGGGCAGCAGAUUUCAGAGUACAUCUACACGACCGACUGAAGAGGUGUCGGAGGAGGUCUGUGAAAGGAAAGGGCAUGGUUGUGAAUGCAGAAAGAGAAAGCGGACCUCGCACUGUGAGUGUGACAGUGAACCAGAGGAAGAUGACAGUCUUCUGGACACCCCUCGCAGGAAAAAGUUAAAGAGCACCUCAAAAUACAUUUACCAGACGCUCUUUUUGAAUGGGGAGAACAGUGACAUUCGUAUAUGUGCAUUGGGUCAGGAGUGGAAUCUGCAUAAAGUAUAUUUGUGCCAGUCUGGAUAUUUCUCCAGUAUGUUUAGUGGAUCUUGGAAGGAGUCAAACAUGAUGGUCAUCGAGCUGGAGAUUCCAGAUCAGAACAUUGACACUGAAGCCCUGCAGGUUGUGUUUGGUUCUCUCUACAGGGAUGACGUCCUGAUCAAGCCUAGCAGAGUGGUCAGCAUUCUGGCAGCAGCGUGUAUGCUGCAGCUGGACGGAUUGAUCCAGCAGUGUGGCGAGACAAUGAAGGAGAAUGUCAGUGCCAAGACGGUGUGUGGCUACUACGCGGCCGCCAGCAUCUACGGCCUGGACUCCGUCAUGAAGAAAUGCCUAGAGUGGCUCCUCAAUAACUUUAUGACCAAUCAAAACGUGGACCUCAUGAAAGAGCUGGGGGUGGACGUGAUGGAGCAGCUCAUCCAGUCCUCCGACCUGUUUGUCAUGCAGGUGGAAAUGGACAUCUACACCGCUCUCAAGAAGUGGAUGUUCCUGCAACUCAACCCGUCCUGGGAAGGGCCCCUCAAGCAGUUGCUCCCUGAUGCAGAGAACUGGCUUUGCAAACGCAGGACUGACCUAGGAGAGGAGGAGCCUUUCCUGAGCACUGAGGAGGGCUCGCCCUACGCUCCUGUCUUCCGUCAUAUUCGCCUGCAGUACAUCAUCAACGACCUGUCCUCUGCACGCAUCCUGGAGAGGGACAACAUCCUCCCGCCAGACUGGCUCUCGGCCAUGUACAAACAGCAGUGGUUCACCAUGCUGAGGACGGAACAUGACAAUGACCACGGACCUCAGGAAGCGAAUAAGGAGGAGUUUGAGCUGAACAGUAUGCGAUGUGGGAGGAAGCUGAGUAAAGAUGGUGAUUAUUGCUGGCGGUGGACGGGCUUCAACUUUGGCUUUGACCUGCUGGUGACCUACACCAACCGCUUCAUCAUGUUCAAGAGAAAUACCCUGAGCCAACCAUGCGGGGGCGCUGUUAGCCUACAACCACGAAGACACCUGGCGUACAGGUUACGGCUGGCUUCCUUUGACAACAGUGGUAAACUGGUCUGCAGUCGGAGCACUGGCUACCAGCUACUCACCCUGGAGAAGGACCAGGAGUAUGUGGUGAUGAACCUGGACAGCCGUCUCCUGUUCUUCCCCCUGUACGUGUGCUGUAACUUCCUGUACACCUCGCCCCAGUCCGAGCGCCGCAUGGAGGCCCCGGAGCCCGAGAGUAGCGCUCGGAGCGCCUCGUGACCGUCCGUCCACCCCCACCGUCCACCCCCAUCGCUCCCAUCAUCACUCACACGCCUUAUCAGCUCAGCGUUUUAAGUCUUGUUUUUUUAUUUUGUUUUUCUUUGGCGGAUUGCUCCUUUGAAUGGGCAUCAACUCUUUUUAUUAUCAUUUGCUUGUUUUUUUUUUAAGAACUUUAUUUUAAAAAACAAAAACAAAUCCAAUUGCCAAUAACAAAUCAACACACUUGCGUGUGCUUUGGGCAGCUACAUGGAUCUGGAUUGCUUUUCUUCUAGAACAUUCUCAGUGAGGCCAGCUUAUAUUUUUACACGCCUUUCUUUUUUUGUGUGUGUGUGUGUGUGUUGUCACUUGAUGUGUCAUUCCUAUUUAUGCUGGUAUUGUUUUGUCUCUGUAUGCGAGGUCAAGUGAGGUGAGUUGAGUGUUGUGCGUCGUGAUGCUCUGUGCUGAGGAGUUUGUGUUCAACAGAGCUGUGUGCUGCCUCCUCUGCGAUUGUGUGUGUGUGUGUGUGUGUGUGGGGGGGGGGUCAGUCCCCUCUGGUGCUCUUCUGACAGGUAAGCUGAAAGGCUGAAAGAAAAACUGCCGUCUCGGCUCACGUGAAACUCAAGGUGGGGGGGCUAGAACAAGCCAUGUUUCAGUCUCUGGUCAUCUGCUGAGGUAUUUUAUGCCCCCCUCUUCUGAUGUAGCGGUAUUCUACUGCCCUGAUGUUACGAGGGCAUAUUUGGCUCCCUUCAGGUGUGUGUGUUUGUGUGUGUGUUUGUGUGUGUGUGUAUGGGGGGGGGCAUAUUUGGCCCUCCUCUGAUGCAAAUGGGGCAUCUAUGGGCCCUCUUUUGAUGUACGGGGGUAUUUUAUACCCCUGUUUAGAUGUGGCGGGGCAUUCUACUGUCCUCCGAUGCAAAAGGAGCAUCUAGGGGCCCUCUUUUGAUGUACCAGGGGUAUUUCAGACCCCUACCUGGAUGUUACAGGGCAUUCUGCUGCCCUCCUUUCAUGUAAUGGGCAUAUUUAUGCCCUCCAUAUGUUGUUAUGGGGUAAUUCACAGUUGUCCAGUGAUGUUUUGUCUUACAUUUGUGAACAUUUCUACAUCAUGCAGACUGCUGACCCUUGACUGAAAAAGUUGAGUCGUGAAAUUUCAAAGUUGAGUUGAGUCGUGACAUUCGGACCAAAACGACACUGGGCAGAAGACAUUGCCAAAUGUCCAUUAAAUAUACAACUAACCAGC